UCGUAACAAGGUUUCCGUAGGUGAACCUGCGGAAGGAUCAUUAAUUAUGUUAAGCGCCUUACCUCUUAGGGUUUCCUCUGGGGUAAGUGAUUGCUUCUACACUGUGAAAAUUUGGCUGAGAGACUCAGACUGGUCAUGGGUAGACCUAUCUGGGGUUUGAUCGAUGCCACUCCUGGUUUCAGGAGCACCCUUCAUAAUAAACCUAGAAAUUCAGUAUUAUAAAGUUUAAUAAAAAACAACUUUUAACAAUGGAUCUCUUGGUUCUCGCAUCGAUGAAGAACGUAGCAAAGUGCGAUAACUAGUGUGAAUUGCAUAUUCAGUGAAUCAUCGAGUCUUUGAACGCAGCUUGCACUCUAUGGUUUUUCUAUAGAGUACGCCUGCUUCAGUAUCAUCACAAACCCACACAUAACAUUUGUUUAUGUGGUAAUGGGUCGCAUCGCUGUUUUAUUACAGUGAGCACCUAAAAUGUGUGUGAUUUUCUGUCUGGCUUGCUAGGCAGGAAUAUUACGCUGGUCUCAGGAUCUUUUUCUUUGGUUCGCCCAGGAAGUAAAGUACAAGAGUAUAAUCCAGCAACUUUCAAACUAUGAUCUGAAGUCAGGUGGGAUUACCCGCUGAACCUAAGCAUAUCA
rnacentral:misc_RNA from 1 species